rnacentral:rRNA from 1 species
UACGUAGGGCCCGAGCGUUAUCCGGUAUUAUUGGGCGUAAAGAGUACGUAGGCGGUUUUGUAAGACAAUGGUUAAAUCUCCGAGCUCAACUCGGAAACUGCCGUUGUGACUGCAUAACUAGUCGAUAGCAGGGGCAAGCAGAAUUCUCGGUGUAGGAGUGAAAUCCGUUGAGAUCGAGAAGAAUACCAAUGGCGAAGGCAGCUUGCUAGGCUAUAUGAGACGCUGAGGUACGAAAGCGUGGGGAGCGAACGGG